AACGAACGCUGGCGGCAUGCCUAACACAUGCAAGUCGAACGAUGCUUUCGGGCAUAGUGGCGCACGGGUGCGUAACGCGUGGGAAUCUGCCCUUGGGUUCGGAAUAACAGUGAGAAAUUUCUGCUAAUACCGGAUGAUGUCUUCGGACCAAAGAUUUAUCGCCCAGGGAUGAGCCCGCGUAGGAUUAGCUAGUUGGUGGGGUAAUGGCCUACCAAGGCGACGAUCCUUAGCUGGUCUGAGAGGAUGAUCAGCCACACUGGGACUGAGACACGGCCCAGACUCCUACGGGAGGCAGCAGUGGGGAAUAUUGGACAAUGGGCGCAAGCCUGAUCCAGCAAUGCCGCGUGAGUGAUGAAGGCCUUAGGGUUGUAAAGCUCUUUUACCCGGGAUGAUAAUGACAGUACCGGGAGAAUAAGCUCCGGCUAACUACGUG
rnacentral:rRNA from 1 species